UGCGAGUCACGUAGCAAUACGUAGCAUACGGCUCAGUAACACGUAGUCAACAUGCCCAGGGGACGUGGAUAACCUCGGGAAACUGAGGAUAAACCGCGAUAGGUCAUAAUGUCUGGAAUGAUUUAUGGCUCAAAUCUACAUGGCCCCUGGAUUGGACUGCGGCCGAUCAGGCUGUUGGUGAGGUAAUGGCCCACCAAACCUAAAACCGGUACGGGCUCUGAGAGGAGAAGCCCGGAGAUGGGCACUGAGACAAGGGCCCAGGCCCUAUGGGGCGCAGCAGGCGCGAAAACUCUGCAAUAAGCGAAAGCUUGACAGGGUUAUUCUGAGUGAUUUCCGCUAAGGAGAUCUUUUGGCACCUCUAAAAAUGGUGCAGAAUAAGGGGUGGGCAAGCCUGGUGUCAGCCGCCGCGGUAAUACCAGCACCCCGAGUGGUCGGGACGAUUAUUGGGCCUAAAGCAUCCGUAGCCGGUUCUACAAGUCUUCCGUUAAAUCCACCUGCUUAACAGUUGGGCUGCAGAGGAUACUAUAGAGCUAGGAGGCGGGAGAGGCAAGCGGUACUUAGUGGGUAGGGGUAAAAUCCGUUGAUCCACUGAAGACCACCAGUGGCGAAGGCGGCUUGCCAGAACGCGCUCGACGGUGAGGGAUGAAAGCUGGGGGAGCAAACCGGAUUAGAUACCCGGGUAGUCCCAGCUGUAAACGAUGCAGACUCGGUGAUGAAUAGGCUUCGUGCCUAUUCAGUGCCGCAGGGAAGCCGUUAAGUCUGCCGCCUGGGGAGUACGGUCGCAAGACUGAACUUAA
rnacentral:rRNA from 1 species